CAGGCUUAACACAUGCAAGUCGAGCGGGGAAGGGUAGCUUGCUACCUGACCUAGCGGCGGACGGGUGAGUAAUGCUUAGGAAUCUGCCUAUUAGUGGGGGACAACAUUCCGAAAGGAAUGCUAAUACCGCAUACGCCCUACGGGGGAAAGCAGGGGAUCUUCGGACCUUGCGCUAAUAGAUGAGCCUAAGUCGGAUUAGCUAGUUGGUGGGGUAAA
rnacentral:rRNA from 1 species